AGUUCCUGUUUUAACCCUCAAAGUGAAGUGUCGUCUCAUUAUUGGGGGAAGGAUUUAUUGUAUGCUGUUCCAGUUUGACUGCUAGGAGAGUAAACCUAUUCGUAUGGUUCCUAUUCAACUGUCUUCAGCAUUCAUAUGCUGGAGAGGAUUCAUAUGCUUCUCCGGUUCGGUGGUUGUGGUGUCUGCUGCAGUGCUUGGAGUCCUCAGGAAGCGCUAGGAGC